UGCAGUCGAACGGUAACAGGAAUUAGCUUGCUAAUUUGCUGACGAGUGGCGCACGGGUGCGUAACGCGUAUACAAUCUACCUUUUGCUGAGGGAUAGCCCAGAGAAAUUUGGAUUAAUACCUCAUGGUAUUAUUGAUAGGCAUCUAUUAAUAAUUAAAGGUUACGGCAAAAGAUGAGUAUGCGUCCCAUUAGCUAGUUGGCGAGGUAACGGCUCACCAAGGCAACGAUGGGUAGGGGUCCUGAGAGGGAGAUCCCCCACACUGGUACUGAGACACGGACCAGACUCCUACGGGAGGCAGCAGUGAGGAAUAUUGGACAACGGGCGAGAGCCUGAUCCAGCCAUGCCGCGUGCAGGAAGACUGCCCUAUGGGUUGUAAACUGCUUUUAUACAGGAAGAAUAAGCCUUACGUGUAAGGUGAUGACGGUACUGUAAGAAUAAGGACCGGCUAACUCCGUGCCAGCAGCCGCGGUAAUACGGAGGGUCCGAGCGUUAUCCGGAAUUAUUGGGUUUAAAGGGUCCGUAGGCGGAUGAUUAAGUCAGGGGUGAAAGUUUGCAGCUCAACUGUAAAAUUGCCUUUGAUACUGGUCAUCUUGA
rnacentral:rRNA from 1 species